GUGUGUCCUCCCUCCAUCGCUAACGCGAUCACCCGCGCCCGGCUCUUCCGCAAAAGUUUCCGAUGAGCUGAAUGUAUAAAUCCGGCCAACGAUCAAUUGUAGCUGUGUUCCUCACCGGUGCCCCCGACCAGCACAGUCCCAGCUAGCGCUGGGGGGCAGCCCGCAGCCAACAUCGCCUGCCCCGAACUUCCUGACCUGCUAACCGGGGCCAUGCACAAUUCUGAUUUGCUGGAGGCAGCCGUGAGAGCACGGAGGAACAUCUGGAGAAACUUCUGAAGCGCCCGGUUCGCUGCCGCUGCUACUGUGCGAUCGAGAAUCUCCGGAGGGGAAGGCCCCCAAAUCCUCGGCUUUGCCUGCUGCUGGGGUCGAAGCGUUCAGCAGAGAUGGUGCUCGGUGCUCAGUGUCGGAGGGCUGGUCGGAGCUCAAAGUUUUCGGACAAUUCAGAAUCGGGCUGUGGUCGGGCAUGGCAAAGAGAGUUUUCUUCCUUCUCCCGUCUGCGUGAGAUGUGGGACUUUCGAGAGACUUUGAACUUUUUUUUACUGUGCCCAUGGCCUGUUCUUCAUCAGGUUAUGGUAUUGCUUGCACUGUUGUAACUAUAUGUUAUAAUGAUGUGGUUUUUGUUAGUUUUUCAGUCUUGGUCUGUCCUGUGUUUCUGUGAUAUCACACCGGAGGAAUAUUGUAUCAUUUCUUAAUGCAUGCAUUACUAAAUGACAAUAAAAGAGGACUGCGUGUCCUCAUAAUCUAAUCUAA